AGGAGCAGACCUGUGUCUUUGAGACGGACAUGUUGGCCCACAUGCCGUCCAGUGAUCCUGGCCACUGCCACCGGCUGCGCCUGGCGGGGUCCCUGACCACUGGGAUUUAUGUUGCCGUCCAGCAGUCUGUUCGCUUCACGGUGCUUCAGCUGGUCGCUGCCGCAGCAACCGCUACACCGUGAAGCACAUCUCCUCCCUCUUCACCACGCAGGAAACUCUGGAUUUCACCCUGACGCCGAACACCAUCAGGGGCGUCUGGAUGGACGACUACAAUUGGUUUGGUAUUAGACAAAUCAACUUUGAGGAGUGAGUCUCACAGUUUGUCAUCAUUAAGGCUCUGACACACCAACCCGCCGGCUGACCGUCGACAGAAAAGGCAGUCGGACUGAUUAGUCAGCUCCUGUCUCCCCGAGUGGUUCAUAAAGUACCUCGGAACACACCCAAGUGACGCAGACUUGAGCGUACGUUCCGCGCAAGACGUAACACGUCCCCAUAUCAGCAGGCGCCAUUAAUCUGUUUUGUUGGAGAUGAUGAACAUCUCUCUAGACCUAGUAAACACGGAGCACGCUCGUCAGUCAUUGUUUUCAUCAGAGUGCUGAUAGUAGUCAAGAAGGAUCAUUGUCAUUACUCGCUGAACGGAAGGGAAUACGAUGGCUAUUAA